UGGGGUCUAUGGAGGUCUAUGGGGUCUAUGAGGUCUAUGGGGUCUAUGGAGGUCUAUGGAGGUCUAUGGGGUCUAUGGGGUCUAUGGAGGUCUAUGGGGUCUAUGGGGUCUAUGGGGUCUAUGGAGGUCUAUGGAGGUCUAUGGAGGUCUAUGGAGGUCUAUGGGGUCUAUGGGGUCUAUGGAGGUCUAUGGGGUCUAUGGAGGUCUAUGGAGGUCUAUGGGGUCUAUGGGGUCUAUGGGGUCUAUGGAGGUCUAUGGGGUCUAUGGAGGUCUAUGG